UACGUAGGGUGCAAGCGUUGUCCGGAAUUAUUGGGCGUAAAGAGCUCGUAGGCGGUCUGUCGCGUCGAUCGUGAAAACUUGGGGCUUAACCCUGAGCUUGCGGUCGAUACGGGCAUGACUGGAGUUCGGCAGGGGAGACUGGAAUUCCUGGUGUAGCGGUGAAAUGCGUAGAUACUGGGAGGAACACCGGUGGCGAAGGCGGCUACCUGGACCGGUUCUGACGCUGAUGCGCGAAAGCGUGGGGAGCAAACAGG
rnacentral:rRNA from 1 species